rnacentral:rRNA from 1 species
AUACGUAGGGGGCAAGCGUUGUCCGGAAUGAUUGGGCGUAAAGGGCGCGUAGGCGGCCCGGUAAGUCUGGAGUGAAAGUCCUGCCUUCAAGGUGGGAAUUGCUUUGGAUACUGUCGGGCUUGAGUGCAGGAGAGGUAAGUGGAAUUCCCAGUGUAGCGGUGAAAUGCGUAGAGAUUGGGAGGAACACCAGUGGCGAAGGCGACUUACUGGACUGUGUCUGACGCUGAGAUGCGAAAGCCAGGGUAGC